UGGGGAAUAUUGCACAAUGGGCGCAAGCCUGAUGCAGCCAUGCCGCGUGUGUGAAGAAGGCCUUCGGGUUGUAAAGCACUUUCAGCGGGGAGGAAGGCGUUAAGGUUAAUAACCUUGGCGAUUGACGUUACCCGCAGAAGAAGCACCGGCUAACUCCGUGCCAGCAGCCGCGGUAAUACGGAGGGUGCAAGCGUUAAUCGGAAUUACUGGGCGUAAAGCGCACGCAGGCGGUUUGUUAAGUCAGAUGUGAAAUCCCCGGGCUCAACCUGGGAACUGCAUCUGAUACUGGCAAGCUUGAGUCUCGUAGAGGGGGGUAGAAUGCCAGGUGUAGCGGUGAAAUGCGUAGAGAUCUGGAGGAAUACCGGUGGCGAAGGCGGCCCCCUGGACGAAGACUGACGCUCAGGUGCGAAAGCGUGGGGAGCAAACAGG
rnacentral:rRNA from 1 species